GUCGGGUUGGGGAUGAAGUGGUUGACGACACCACCGAUCACCGCGAAGGUGCGCUUUCCCUCCGUGAGCAUCUGCACGCCACGGCGCUUGAACUCCUU
rfam:Mycobacterium sp. EPa45, complete genome.